rnacentral:rRNA from 1 species
AACGAACGCUGGCGGCAGGCUUAACACAUGCAAGUCGAACGCCCCGCAAGGGGAGUGGCAGACGGGUGAGUAACGCGUGGGAACAUACCCUUUUCUACGGAAUAGCUCUGGGAAACUGGAAUUAAUACCGUAUACGCCCUACGGGGGAAAGAUUUAUCGGGGAAGGAUUGGCCCGCGUUGGAUUAGCUAGUUGGUGGGGUAAAGGCCUACCAAGGCGACGAUCCAUAGCUGGUCUGAGAGGAUGAUCAGCCACAUUGGGACUGAGACACGGCCCAAACUCCUGCGGGAGGCAGCAGUGGGGAAUAUUGGACAAUGGGCGCAAGCCGGAUCCAGCCAUGCCGCGUGAGUGAUGAAGGCCUUAGGGUUGUAAAGCUCUUUCACCGAUGAAGAUAAUGACGGUAGUCGGAGAAGAAGCCCCGGCUAACUUCGUG